UCCGUAGGGUGCAAGCGUUAAUCGGAAUUACUGGGCGUAAAGCGUGCGCAGGCGGUUUUGUAAGUCUGGUGGGAAAUCCCCGGGCUCAACCUGGGAAUUGCAUUGGAGACUGCAAGGCUAGAAUCUGGCAGAGGGGGGUAGAAUUCCACGUGUAGCAGUGAAAUGCGUAGAGAUGGGGAGGAACACCGAUGGCGAAGGCAGCCCCCUGGGUCAAGAUUGACGCUCAUGCACGAAAGCGUGGGGAGCAAACAGG
rnacentral:rRNA from 1 species